AGUGAACGCUGGCGGCAUGCCUAACACAUGCAAGUCGAACGGCAGCACAGUCAGAGCUUGCUCUUACGGGUGGCGAGUGGCGGACGGGAGAGGAAUACAUCGGAAUCUACUGUUUCGUGGGGGAUAACGUAGGGAAACUUACGCCAAUACAGCAUACGACCUACGGGUGAAAGCAGGGGAUCUUCGGACCUUGCGCGAUUGAAUGAGCCGAUGUCGGAUUAGCUAGUUGGCGGGGUAAAGGCCCACCAAGGGGACGAUGCGUAGCUGGUCUGAGAGGCUGAUCAGCCACACUGGAACUGAGACAGGGCCCAGACUCGGAGGGAAGGAAGCGGUGGGGAAUUUGGGAAAAGGGGGGCAGGCUUGAUCAGGCCAUACGGGGGGGGUGAAGAGGGCCUUCGGGUGGUAAAGACCUUUUGUGGGGACAGAAAGGCAGCAGGCUAAACCACGGUUGUUCGGCCGUUACCGAAAGAAUAAGAACGGGUAAAUAUCGU
rnacentral:rRNA from 1 species